UAACAUCUGGUUGGCUGUAUAGAAACAAAGCUGAUUCUGUUGCAAAUGGAUCUUACAGACAUUGUCACAGAGACAAGAAAAGUAAGGUGCUGUCUUCUCCAAUCUUUUAAAAAAAAUUUAGGUGACAGAAACUACUAUGUACUGGUGUAAUUACCUUAGAAGAAAACAACAAAUUAAAUAUCAGUCAGAGUAGUUAUUAGUCCCAGGAGCAAAGCUGCUCACUUCAUACAAUUCUGAAAGGGUAGAGGGGAAGGAUGCAGAGACCCACAAGGGAACAUACAAUUCCCCUGCAUUCCCAUAGCAUUUCCAGCUGCAUUCCUGGGUACGUGGGAGAUACAGCAUGAUAUGUGUUCUUAGUUGAAAUAAACCAGGUAAUACCCCAGGCACCCCAUAACCUAAAGUACCGGUAGACUGGUAUCUGGCCAGAGGCUCAAGUAAACUUAAGAACAUGGGAGAGAUGGGAGCAAUUUUAUUCCUUUCUCUACACAUUGAAG
rnacentral:lncRNA from 1 species